rnacentral:rRNA from 1 species
GUAAGGAAUAUUGGGCAAUGGAGGCAACUCUGACCCAGCCAUGCCGCGUGAAGGAUUGACGGCCCUCUGGGUUGUAAACUUCUUUUGUACGGGAAUAACCCUCCGAACGUGUUCGGAGCUGAAGGUACCGUAAGAACAAGGAUCGGCUAACUCCGUGCCAGCAGCCGCGGUAAUACGGAGGAUCCAAGCGUUAUCCGGAUUUACUGUGUUUAAAGGGUGCGUAUGCGGAUUGAUAAGUAAGUGGUGAAAUCCUGCAGCUUAACUGCAGAACUGCCAUUGAUACUGCCAGUCUGGAGUAUGGUUGAGGUAGCUGGAAUGUGUCAUGUAGCGGUGAAAUGCUUAGAGAUGACACAGAACACCGACGGCGAAGGCAGGUUACCAACCCAUUACUGACGCUGAGGCACGAAAGCGUGGGGAUCAAACAGGAUUAGAUACCCCGGUAGUCC